AGAAACCUGCGAUGUGCGUAAAGCGUAUUGUGUUUUAACCGAUGCACACGAUAAGGGAACUUAGGUUCAGCAUUCUAGCAAAUGCCACCAUCAGUGUGGACUUGUGAAAAUGUCGACCAAGUACCCACCUGCUAGGAGCAGGUUCAAAACCGUGGGCUUUACGGCAAAGCGGGCGGCUG
rnacentral:other from 1 species